rnacentral:snRNA from 1 species
CUGCCAGUUAUUAACAGCACAUAUGUCAAAGUUGUAAUGACACAGAAAAGAUUAGCAUGGUCCCUGUGGGAGGUGACAUGCAAUUUGUAAAGCAUUCCAUGAAAAG